rnacentral:rRNA from 1 species
AGCGAACGGACGAGGAGCUUGCUCCUUUGAAGUUAGCGGCGGACGGGUGAGUAACACGUGGGUAACCUACCUAUAAGACUGGAAUAACUCCGGGAAACCGGGGCUAAUGCCGGAUAACAUGUUGAACCGCAUGGUUCAACAGUGAAAGACGGUCUUGCUGUCACUUAUAGAUGGACCCGCGCCGUAUUAGCUAGUUGGUGGGGUAACGGCCUACCAAGGCGACGAUACGUAGCCGACCUGAGAGGGUGAUCGGCCACACUGGAACUGAGACACGGUCCAGACUCCUACGGGAGGCAGCAGUAGGGAAUCUUCCGCAAUGGGCGAAAGCCUGACGGAGCAACGCCGCGUGAGUGAUGAAGGUCUUCGGAUCGUAAAGCUCUGUUGUUAGGGAAGAACAAAUGUGUAAGUAACUGUGCACGUCUUGACGGUACCUAACCAGAAAGCCACGGCUAACUACGUGCCAGCAGCCGCGGUAAUACGUAGGUGGCAAGCGUUAUCCGGAAUUAUUGGGCGUAAAGCGCGCGUAGGCGGUUUUUUAAGUCUGAUGUGAAAGCCCACGGCUCAACCGUGGAGGGUCAUUGGAAACUGGAAAACUUGAGUGCAGAAGAGGAAAGUGGAAUUCCAUGUGUAGCGGUGAAAUGCGCAGAGAUAUGGAGGAACACCAGUGGCGAAGGCGGCUUUCUGGUCUGCAACUGACGCUGAUGUGC